UUAAAAUUAUAAAAAUAUAAACCGAUUAUCUUUCUCUCUCUCAAAACCUCUUCUUUUUCUCUCUCACUUCACCUUUUUCUCCCUUACACCAUCAGCCAACCACCAUUCCGGUCAAAACUAAGGUUCUGGCUAGUGCUCCGGAGAACUAAACAAACCUUUUGAGUUGCUCCAGUGAACUGAACAAACAUCACCAUCAUCCCUUUUCAGAUUCUGAUCGAGAUCUAACCAUCGGCAGCUUCCGGUGAUAGAUCUCAUCUCGGGCUUUCUCUGUUGUCAGCCCCCACCACCAAGAUUCGGUACCACUGAUCUGCCAAAGACUCUGGCGGCAAACGUGUGGGGGUGAGGACAACGGUUCAGCUGUGGGUGAGAGAGGCGCGAUGGUGUUGAUUUGACCAUGGUAAUCGGCCGAUUCCCCAUCGCAGAUCUGUUUUAGAUCUAAUCCGAAAUUGAACAGAGAGAUGGAGAUAGUGACCGAUGGUCUCCGGCGAUAUUAUGGUGUAAGUGGUGAUAUUGCACAAUGGUUUGAAGAUUGUUGAAUGCUGAUAUAAUUGUUGCAGGUUUUAUUAUUUGCAAUGAAUACGAAGGUGUUAUGGAAAAGUCAUGUGAAUUAAAUGGAUUUAAUGCUUUGAAGAUAUGUAUGUUUAUUGGAAACCUGCAAAUAAAAGAAAGUAAUUAAU